rnacentral:SRP_RNA from 1 species
AGGCCCUGAGGCAAGGGUCGGGUUACGAACUGUGUCAGGUCCGGAAGGAAGCAGCACUAAGUAUCAUCGACACUGUGCCUCUUGUUUAUGACUAUUAG